CUCAAAACUCUCAACACCGCAGGGCGUAUUCAAUGACAUUGCGUGUAGAGAUGAUAGAUCACUGGGAGGAGCUUAUGCACACACGAUGACCCCUGACGUCACUGGGCAUUGUCUCGCCGGUGUGAUUAGCAACAAAAUACUACAAAUUACGUCAUAGGGUAUGAUCACGUGUUUGAAAGGUUUGUGGUACUGUAUUCUAAAGUGUGAGGAGAACCUGGUUCCAGGAGGAGGUGUGAUGGACAUGAUGUUGAAGGGAAUGAUCAUUCCACACAGAAUGUGGGGUGUGAGGCACAAUUUGAAAUAAAGGAGAUGCAGGUCCAUGCUGAACAAUGGGAGAACCAUCUACUCAAUAACCAUCUGGCUCUUGAGAAUUUUGGAGUAUCAAGAACUAGAACUGACCCGUUUCAUGCAAUAUUAUAUUUCAUUACUGACUGUGAUACUUUCAAGUGAUGUUUAUAUUUUGAUCAACCCAGUGCCACCAAAAUGUGUAGCAUGUAUUAUGUUUGUUCUGACACUGUUUCCUUGGCUGGAAGACCCAGGACUAUGCUGUUGACUGCACUGAAAUAAAAAUUCAAAUCCCA